AAGACCCUCUCUCCUCCCACAGGGGGAGCCCACAUGAAUUGGGGAGCCUGCUGCAGGAGGAACCUUUCUUUCCCUCUCCUCUGGUUCCCACAGGGGCUCAUAAAGAGGAACCCUCCUCCUUCCUGGAAAUGUUGAGUGUUCCUGACCUUCUCUCUACCCAUCGCUGUACCCAGGGAGGGAAGAGUGACUUGGGAACCAGAUAGGGACAUGGAGCUAUUCCGGAAGCGGCUGUCAGUGUAUGGAUCAUACUGCCCAUCAGCAUUGGAGAGGCUGUGAGUCCUCAGCAUGGUCGGGUUGGACAAGCUCAUCUGGGUGACAGUGGUGGGACUCGCUGGAAUAAAAGGAAUAGAAUCAAAAGGGUGUCUUUCUGAGAAAGGCAGCCAGAGGCACAGCACCAACCUUUCUGACAGUGUGGUCUUCACACUGUUAGUUCUGACAAAGGGAGUCAAGGAGUCGUCCUUGGAGGAGGCGAUGAGGCCAGUGGAAGAAUUGUGGCUGGGGACCCCUCCACUGCUGAGGGAGAUGUCGAUGGACUCACAGCUGGUGUGGAGGCUGCUGACAGACUGAAAGCCCAGGCCAUCCUUGCUAACUGCGGAGGAGCUGCUGGCGUUGGUGCCCCAGGGCCAAGACAGCCCCGGCCUCUUACCAGUUCCUGGGGUCUUCAGUGCGCCUGCCGGGGCUGAAGGCUUCGUCCUUGGCAUGGUGAUGCCCACCUGAGCUGUCAUGCCUCGCCGCCAUGAGCCUGUCUGGGAGAUGACAGGAUUCUUCUUGCCCGACGUGCUUUUGUCGGACUCGUCAGACACAUCAGAAGGAUUCCGCCUCCACUUGGAACCUGGCUCCAUUUUUAUGCCGCUGUCUGAGCCUCCGUCUGAUUUCUUGACAUCAUCACCAGACCACAGGGAAUUCCUCUCCACCUGUGAGUGCUUCUCAGCAUCAGUCUGUGGACAGAGACUCUCUGAAUUAGUCCUUCCCCAGUCCCAGGCUGGGAAGCCCCUCACUCCAAAGGCAAAAAUGCCAAAACACUGGAGUAGUUAAGGGAAAAAUAAGCAUUACUUUAAAGAUGUUUGGACUUUUGUACUCUGGUUAUCUUGUUAGAAAGACUGAUUUUUUUUUUUUGGAAAAAAAAAUAAAAAAGUAAAUAAUAUCAAUGUAUCCCUGGAAUGGAAUGGAACGAGAUGGCUGGGCACAGUGGCUCACGCCUAUAAUCCUAAUAUUUUAGGAGGCUGAGGCGGGAGGAUCACUUGAUCCCACAAGUUUAAGACCAGCCUGGGCAUCAUGGCAAAACCCCAUCUCUACAAAAAAUAGAAAAAUUAGCUGAGUGUGGUGGCACACGCCUAUAGUUCUACCCACUCGGGUGGUUGAGGUGGGAGGAUCACCCCGGGGAGGUGGAGGCUGCAGUAAGCCGUGACCGCACCACUGUACUCUAGCCUGGAUGACAGGGCGAGACUGUCUCAAAAAAGAAGAAAAGAAAAGCAAAAGAAAGGAGUGAGGGAAGAGAGGAAAAGGGGCCCAGGAAAAAAGAAGGAAAGAGCCCUAGCGAGGGGAAGGGGCAGAGCAGAUGGAGAUGCAGUGGGAAUUCAGCCACCACCUAUUUUCUGCCACUUGAACAAGCCUCCUCCAACUCUGGCGGCUGAUCUCUAACCAGCAUCCAGUCUCCUGGCCCGUUUCCCUUUGUUCUGCCUUCUUCCCAUCACUGCACCGCAGAGAGAUCUUUGGAUCUAACACACCAAGCAAGGGAGCAAGGGUGGCUGCUGGUUCUACGCAAAUCAGGGAGAGCCAGGAGCUGAGGGGAAGCGCAUCCUCAAAUGCUACUUCCCCCAAAUGCGGAGAGCCAAUGAUGCCUGCUCCGACCCCAGCAUUAUUUAUAUGCCACUGCUUUGCUCCCCUUGUGGGAUUUUGUUCUGACAAGGGAUAUAAUUAGCCAGCUUUCUUUGGAAGAGCCCUGACCUGCUGGCCAUAAAACCCAGAAGGGGACCGAAGUGUGACGUUAAUGAUCUCCUGCAGCUAAAAGGCAUAAAGCUGACCAGAAUGCUUUGGAGGCCUCCUGGGGUUUGAGGCCAGUUGGAGGAUGUCAGUAGCGAGAAGCAGCACGGUAAAUGGGGAAGGGAGGUCAGGAGCGCUUUCAGGGUGGGUAUACUAAGAUACCAGUCCCAUAUUUGCAAUGCUUAACUACCGAGAGUAGGCAAGAUAGGAAAUUAAAAUGAACACCUGGCAAGAAUCUGCCUAACGCCUGUCAUCCAAGAGUGGAAGAAAUGCCUUCCUCCAUGGAAUACAAUGGCUGAAUGGGAUAAAAGCUAAAAACAGAUAGGCAGCCCAAGUUCAAUCGCCUCCCCAACACCACCCCAACCCCUUCUCCCCUUAUGAAUUCCACUCAUCCAUUACAGACACCUUAUGAGUUCUUUCAUUUGUUUUUUUCCAGCUAAGUAUUAGUCACUAGAGAUAUGAGGAGGACAAACACACACUGCCUGGCUAUGAGAAGCUCAUCAUUCAGCUGUGGCAAGGGACAGAGAGAGGGGAGUUCCUACAUGUGGGCACAGGGCAGGAGCUCACUCAAAGCUUGAUGAGCGAAUGAAUGAGCCUAGGAAGGAGCCAAGGAACACACGCUUUUCAGGCCACAACAGACAUUAGCAAAAUUAUCUUAUCCGAUCUCAGCCUCUAUUUAAUCAGAAAGGGUAAGUACACAAGUACUCAAGUACUGUUAUCUUUAUCUCAAUCUUACAGAAACUAAAGUUGCCCAUUCUUUGUCCCAACUACCUCAGGUCAGUUUCCUUCCUCUAAACACUUCCAGUACAUUCAUCCAACCAGAAUUUACUCCAUGCUUGCUGUCUGCCAGGCACCACGGAGGGUCAGAGAAUCUGGGGAUAAGACUGAUUUCCCACCCAUGGUGGAGCUUACGAUCCAGUGAAACAGGCAGAGAUAGAAUAAAUAAACACAAACAAGGGUGUAAUUGUAGACUACGAAGACUAUUAUAAGGAAAAAGACAAAAAGUCUGAGAAAUAAAUAUAGACAUUGACCUAAUUUAGAUGACAAUGAGGUGGGUAGGCGACAGUGAUCAGUUCAAAAAGAAGUACCCUAAAGAAAGAAAAGAAACUUACUUAGUAAAAGAAGAGUUUGGGGCAGAGCAUACCAGGGAGAGGGAACCACAUGUAUAAAGGUCCUGAGGCAGAAAAUAACUUGGCUUUGGAACAUUCACUUCACAAAUAUUUAUUGGGUGCCACUACGUGCCAGGAAAGCUUAUUCGCACUAGGAAUACUGCAAUGAACAAGUAUAAAUCAUUAACCUCAUGGAGCUUACAUUCAAGUACAUUUUAACAUAUUCUAAUAUGCUCUAAGAGGUACUGAAAAUUUAGCACAUGCCACAUCCUGGGUUACUGCAUUAUUUAUUCUUUUAAUGUUCCUAUACUUAUUUCCCCCCAAUCAAACUGUAAUGGUGCUAAUACUAGUAGCAUAACAACUACAAUUUAUUGAGUACUUACUACGUCCCAGGCACUAAGCUAAAGUGUUUGAUAUGUAUCAUUAAAUUUAAUCCUUAUCAAAAACCUAUGAGGAAAUUACAGUUAAUAGUCUCAAUUUUACAUGACAAAACUGAGGCAAACAGUGAAAAGAAAAUUUCCCAAGAUCACAUAGUGAGGAAGUAGAGAUGCAGGGAAUUCAGGGAGUCUAACUGCAGAGCCCACAUUUUAACCACCAUGCCACACUGCCCUCCCUAAGGAUAAGUCGAGGUAUAUGAUACAUUUGUGCAUACUCAGUAGCACCUAAUAGCUAUACCCAGCAGAUUCUCCUUCCAUACUGGCAGGCUCCCCAACCCCAGUUCUAGAGCAGCUCUAGCUUAGCCUCUAGGUGGGACCCAUACAACUCCAUUUCCAUCAGUGGCAGAGACAGCGCACAUGCCCCUGGCCUGGGAAUGUGGCUUGACUUUCUCUCUCUGGAAAGAACAAUCAUCCAGCCAUCACAUCUCCCUAGCUUGGUCCAGGGUGGUCACCUUCCCAGCUCUACUCUGAAUCCUUCAUGAGCUACAUGCCGGACUAUAAGGUGGCACCCCUUGGGAUUAAAAAACGAGAAAGUCCCAGCCUCUCUGUUCCUGGAGCUCGCAACAGCGGAACCAGCCAACAGGACAUCCACAUGGGGACGUACGAAGAGUUCUAUCCUGCCUUCCCCUCCAUGCCUCGGCCAGUUGUUUCCAUCUCAAUGGUACCUCCUUUCUGAAGGGUUUUCUUCUGCCUGUUCUUGGAAGUCUAUGUAGUCAUUCGAUAUCCACAUGGGAAGGUGAGGAAAGAAGCCACGCACAAGGGACUUCAGAAGGGAGGCCAGUCUUCUGAGAGCAAGAGGUGAGGCCUGAGGAGCAUGAUGUGGGGGAAGAGUGUGGGCUUUGGGUCUGACAGAUCUGGGUUCAAGUGUUCGGUGCUGCCACUCAUUUGCUGUGCAUGACCUUGGAAGACAUUGCCCUACUUAUCUGAACUUAUUAACUCAUGUAUAAAACAUGGAUGAUAAAUAGGUCUCUUACAGCAUUGAUGGUGAACUCAGUGAACUCAGUGUGGGGGGACUCAAUAA
rnacentral:lncRNA from 1 species